UUUUUAUCUUUUGAGGUCAAAGCCUAAGGGGCUCUAGACAAACCUGAGUGUGUGUGAAUGUGUAUAGCCACAGGCACGAUGCAGUUUUGGUUUCCACAUAUUAUUUAUUGCAGUUGCAGUACACGUUAUGGAGUAAUAUAGUGCAUCUCUACGAAGUCAUCAGGCCUUUGGUUUUAAAACUUUGUAUGGGAUAAAGAGUCAAAAAUAUCCUGGAAUCCACUGACCCCUGGUUAAUAAUGCCUAAUCUAAUGCAACCAUAUCAUUUACAGAUCUAAAGAAACAGAAGAUGCCCUAGCCAGUUUGGCUCAGUGGAUAGAGUGU